GUGAGGAAUAUUGCGCAAUGGAGGCAACUCUGACGCAGCCAUGCCGCGUGCAGGAAGAAGGCGCUACGCGUUGUAAACUGCUUUUAACCGGGAAGAAACCCCAGGACGUGUCCUGGGUUGACGGUACCGGAGGAAUAAGCACCGGCUAACUUCGUGCCAGCAGCCGCGGUAAUACGAAGGGUGCAAGCGUUAUCCGGAUUCAUUGGGUUUAAAGGGUGCGUAGCCGGAGCGUUAAGUCAGUGGUGAAAUCCUGCAGCUUAACUGUAGACUUGCCAUUGAUACUGGCACUCUUGAGUGCGCUUGAAGUGGGCGGAAUGUGCCGUGUAGCGGUGAAAUGCUUAGAUAUGGCACAGAACACCAAUUGCGAAGGCAGCUCACUAAGGCGAUACUGACGCUGAGGCACGAAAGCGUGGGGAUCGAACAGGAUUAGAAACCCGAGUAGUCC
rnacentral:rRNA from 1 species